rnacentral:tRNA from 1 species
GCGUCGGUGGUUCAGUGGUAGAAUACUCGCCUACCACGCAGGUCACCCAGGUUCAAUUCCCGGCUGACGCA